GCGUAUGAUGAGCUAGUUGGUGGGGUAAAGGCCUACCAAGGCGACGAUCCUUAGCUGGUCUGAGAGGAUGAUCAGCCACACUGGGACUGAGACACGGCCCAGACUCCUACGGGAGGCAGCAGUGGGGAAUAUUGGACAAUGGGCGAAAGCCUGAUCCAGCCAUGCCGCGUGAGUGAUGAAGGCCUUAGGGUUGUAAAGCUCUUUUACCCGGGAAGAUAAUGACUGUACCGGGAGAAUAAGCUCCGGCUAACUCCGUGCCAGCAGCCGCGGUAAUACGGAGGGAGCUAGCGUUGUUCGGAAUUACUGGGCGGAAAGCGCACGUACGCGGCUUUGUAGGCUAGACGUGAAAGCCUGGAGCUCAACUCCUGAACUGCCUCUAAGACUGUAUCGCUCGAAUCCAGGGAAGGUGAGUGGAAUUCCGAGUGUCAAGGUGAAAUUCGUACAUAUCCGGAACAACACAGUGGCGACGCGGCUCACUGAACUGUAAUUGACGCUGAGGUG
rnacentral:rRNA from 1 species